rnacentral:rRNA from 1 species
UACGGGGGGAGCAAGCGUUGUUCGGAUUUACUGGGCGUAAAGGGCGCGUAGGCGGCCACCGCAAGUCGACUGUGAAAUCUCCGGGCUUAAUCCGGAAAGGUCAGCCGAUACUGCGGGGCUAGAGUGCAGAAGGGGCAACUGGAAUUCUCGGUGUAGCGGUGAAAUGCGUAGAUAUCGAGAGGAACACCUGCGGCGAAGGCGGGUUGCUGGGCUGACACUGACGCUGAUGCGCGAAAGCUAGGGGAGCGAACGGG